UUAUGGCUCAGGACGAAUGCUGGCUGCGUGCUUAACACAUGCAAGUCGAACGGUGAAGGAGGGCUUGCCCUCCGGAUCAGUGGCGAACGGGUGAGUAACACGUGGGCAACCUGCCCCUCACUCUGGGAUAACACCGGGAAACCGGUGCUAAUACCGGAUACGACCAGGCGCGACAUCUUGUCUGGUGGAAAGAACUUCGGUGAGGGAUGGGCCCGCGGCCUAUCAGCUUGUUGGUGAGGUAACGGCUCACCAAGGCGACGACGGGUAGCCGGCCUGAGAGGGCGACCGGCCACACUGGGACUGAGACACGGCCCAGACUCCUACGGGAGGCAGCAGUGGGGAAUAUUGCGCAAUGGGCGAAAGCCUGACGCAGCGACGCAGCGUGAGGGACGAAGGCCUUCGGGUUGUAAACCUCUUUCAGCGGGGACGAAGCGAAAGUGACGGUACCCGCAGAAGAAGCACCGGCUAACUACGUGCCAGCAGCCGCGGUAAUACGUAGGGUGCAAGCAUUGUCCGGAUUUAUUGGGCGUAAAGAGCUCGUAGGCGGCUUGUCACGUCGGGUGUGAAAACUUGGGGCUCAACCCCAAGCCUGCACUCGAUACGGGCUAGCUAGAGUGUUGCAGGGGAGACUGGAAUUCCUGGUGUAGCGGUGAAAUGCGCAGAUAUCAGGAGGAACACCGGUGGCGAAGGCGGGUCUCUGGGCAACUACUGACGCUGAGGAGCGAAAGCGUGGGGAGCGAACAGGAUUAGAUACCCUGGUAGUCCACGCCGUAAACGUUGGGCGCUAGGUGUGGGGAACCUUCCACGUUCUCCGUGCCGUAGCUAACGCAUUAAGCGCCCCGCCUGGGGAGUACGGCCCGCAGGCUAAAACU
rnacentral:rRNA from 1 species